GAUUUCUGCCCAGUGCUC
rnacentral:ncRNA from 2 species